rnacentral:rRNA from 1 species
GGGGGUACACGAGUGGCGAACGGGUGAGUAACACGUGGGUAAUCUGCCCUGCACUUCGGGAUAAGCCUGGGAAACCGGGUCUAAUACCGGAUAUGAGCUCUCACCGCAUGGUGGGGGUUGGAAAGUUUUUCGGUGCAGGAUGAGUCCGCGGCCUAUCAGCUUGUUGGUGGGGUAAUGGCCUACCAAGGCGACGACGGGUAGCCGGCCUGAGAGGGUGAUCGGCCACACUGGGACUGAGACACGGCCCAGACUCCUACGGGAGGCAGCAGUGGGGAAUAUUGCACAAUGGGCGGAAGCCUGAUGCAGCGACGCCGCGUGGGGGAUGACGGUCUUCGGAUUGUAAACUCCUUUCAGUAGGGACGAAGCGAGAGUGACGGUACCUGCAGAAGAAGCACCGGCCAACUACGUGCCAGCAGCCGCGGUAAUACGUAGGGUGCAAGCGUUGUCCGGAAUUACUGGGCGUAAAGAGCUCGUAGGCGGUUUGUCACGUCGUCUGUGAAAUCCUCCAGCUCAACUGGGGGCGUGCAGGCGAUACGGGCAGACUUGAGUACUACAGGGGAGACUGGAAUUCCUGGUGUAGCGGUGAAAUGCGCAGAUAUCAGGAGGAACACCGGUGGCGAAGGCGGGUCUCUGGGUAGUAACUGACGCUGAGGAGCGAAAGCAUGGGGAGCGAACAGGAUUAGAUACCCUGGUAGUCCAUGCCGUAAACGGUGGGCGCUAGGUGUGGGG